GAAUCAUGAAUUGACGUUGCCUUGAAAUGCCAUUUGCAGUUCUCAGCAACACAUACAAGCCAAUAGAUGGAAUAAUAAGAAGAGAGAAAUUACAGAAAGUGCAACAGAAAAUGGGACAUGCGGGUGAAAAUUUUAAUUUUGGAAGCACGUCUCUAAUACCGAUCACACGUAUUGUCAAUGGGCGACUCAUGCUCCAUGAUCAGAAGCGAAUUUAGAGGGCAGAAAAGGAUUUACUUGAACCUUCUUUGCUAAAAAAUUACACUAUGUACUAAGACAAAAUCUAUUUUUAUCUCUAUAUACAAAGUUUUAAACCCUUUUAAUAUAACCCAAAAAUAUAAUUUAGUGAUCAAAGAGGUUUAAAACCUUCAUAAGGUUAUAGGUUCAAUUCUAACUAGUUAAAAAAAAUUUUAAACCCCUUUCAUGGAGAUUCUGCCUUCGCCACUGCCCAUGACUCCUUGGAUGCGUCCCAUGACAUUCUGCCAAGCCUCCCAACACCUUGCGCUAUGGUCAUUCCCGUUGUCUUGGCUGCGCCAUGACGUCCUGGCAAGCCUCCCAACGCCUUGCACUAUUUACUAAACACUACAAUUAACUACAAACUGACUACAGUCAACUACAAUUGACUACAAUUAACUACAACUGACUACAAUUAACUACAAACUGACUACAAUUAACUACAAACUGACUAC
rnacentral:lncRNA from 1 species